UUCAGUGUUCUGAUGGUACAUUGUGUUAUCGCCUUAGAAGACUAACGGAGGGGUAGAAAACCCUCGAAAACCCUUUUUAUGUGAGCGCAGCUGAAAACAGUUAUGCUGGUGAGAGAAGCUAUACAACUGGCCUUCCUUUGAGCCACAAUAAGAACUACAUGAACAUGUAUCGGAGGAAGAUGUGAACUGGAUGUCGUUGUGGUUCCAGUCCAUGAGAGGUUUGUGUCAGGAGGAGGACUACGCCUUCCUGGGAACGCCGGAAAAGACAACGGCAGGAACGCCCGAAGGAGCUUCUGAGGACGACCGGAGAGACAGGAAGGAGGAUCGGGUGAGAGGCGAGGAAGGUCGGCAUGGAGGGAGAUUUUUAUUAUCACGCAAACAACAACAAAAAAGGAUGACAACUUAGUUCCGUGUCCUCCUCACCGCGACCUCCCGUUAGCGCAGCGAUUCAAACCCACCAAUAGAAACGCCUCGCUCAUUCAGCAGCGCAAGCCCCGCCCACUACGUCCAAACUCAACUCGUAGAUUUUCGUUUUGUGAGCGACAUUUUUGUUUUUUAUCGCGAAGAUUUUUUUUUGUUUGCAAGUUUUUUCUUUUUAGAGCAAAGCUUUUCUAAUAUGCAGCAAGAAAUAAUAUUUUCAUGAGAAAAAAUAACAAACGAGAAAUUUGCUCUCGAAACCUUUUGUGUUGUUUGCGUAAUAAAUACACAAAUCUACCUUCAUAGGUCUUUAAAUAUAUAAAUAAACCCACUAAUUGAUACACACACACACAUGAUUUGUGUUUUGUUUUUGUGUGUGUGUGUGCGUGUUUGUGUGUGUGUGUGUGUGUGUGUUUCAGGUCCGCCGGCGGCUGCAGAGGGAGCAUGUGGAACAAGAGAGACUCAGAGAAAUGGAGGAGAUCAAGAAGGAGCAGCAGCAGCAGUGGAGGAGUCACAUCUUCACGCUGAGCUGCAGACAAGAGAAGAGAGUCCAGGAGCGGCUGGAGCGACUCCGAGGAUUCAGGGAGUUCCAGAGGAAGGUGCUGGCCGAGGAGGAGGAGUCAGGGGUGGAGGGGGCGGAGCUCCGUGCUGACGCCUUCAGAUGAACUCAGCAGAAACACGGCGUUGUUUUGUUUUGCUACUUUUAUUUAACAAGUUCCCGGUUCACACACACAUACGUGGUGUCGUCUCCAGCCUGCUGACCGCUCCGUCACACACACACACACACACACACACACACACACACACACACACACACACACACACACACACACAAUACAACAUGUUCAGAUCGUGGUUGAAGGAAUCUUUUUUUGUUUGGGUUUGCAGUUUUCGAGCAGAGGCCUAAAAACGGUGCUUAACCUCCUGUUAGCUUCACAUGCACCAACAUCUUUGACCCUCGGGGUCAAGUUGACCCCAGCAAUUUAAACCUCCAGAAAAUGAUUAGAAUUUAUAUUGUUUCCCAAGUUUAAGUGUGAGGUAUGUUUAUUUGUUUGUUGACUACAUAAAUAGUUCUUUAAGUAAAUACAAAAGUUGAUAUUUCUUAUAUGUUUUACACAGUGAAAAACAGCCUGGGGUCAAACUGACCCCAAAGAACACCGAUGCGUACAAGUUGUGUAGAGUAAAAACAUGUAAUCAUGUGUAUUUUGUGUUUACCCAGUUUUCCCCAA